AGAUUGAACGCUGGCGGCAUGCCUAACACAUGCAAGUCGAACGGGAGUAGCAAUACUCUAGUGGCGGACGGGUGAGGAAUACGUAGGAAUUUGCCCUUAAGUGGGGGAUAACCCGGGGAAACCCGGAUUAAUACCGCAUGACCUCGAAAGAGCAAAGUGGGGGAUCGCAAGACCUCACGCUUUUGGAGAAGCCUACGUCGGAUUAGCUAGUUGGUGAGGUAAUGGCUCACCAAGGCGACGAUCCGUAACUGGUCUGAGAGGAUGAUCAGUCACACCGGAACUGAGACACGGUCCGGACUCCUACGGGAGGCAGCAGUGGGGAAUAUUGGACAAUGGGCGCAAGCCUGAUCCAGCAAUGCCGCGUGUGUGAAGAAGGCCUUCGGUUGUAAAGCGACUUAAGUUAGGGAAGAAAAACGUACGACGUCUAACACAGUGAGUCUUGACGGUACCGACAGAAUAAGACAACCGGCUAACUCUGUGCCAGCAGCCGC
rnacentral:rRNA from 1 species